rnacentral:rRNA from 1 species
UUAAACUAUUAUAUAAAAGUUAAUUAAUUCAAUAAAAAUAAGAUAGAAAUAUAAGUAAUUUAUAUAAAAAAAUUAAUUUUUAAUGGUGAAAUAUAAAAAAUUAUAAAUUUAUAUAAUUAAAUUUAAUAUAAUUUAAAAAUUUAUAAAAUAAACUAGGAUUAGAUACCCUAUUAUAGUAAAAUAAAAAUUUUAAUAUUAAAGUAAUAAAUGUUAAAUCAUUAAAUUUAUAAGAUUUGGCGGUAUUUUAUACAAAUUAGGGGAACUUGUUUAGUAAUUGAUGAACCACGAUAAGAUUUACUUAAUUUAAUAUUUAUGUAUUGCUGUUUAAAAAUGUAUUUUAAGAAUAUAAAUUAUAAUUUAAAAAUAUAAAAUAAUUCAAGUCAAAAUAUAGUUUAGUUAAGAUAUAAUGAGUUACAAAAAAAUAAAUUUAUAUGGAUUUUUAUAUUUAAAAAUAAAAUGAAGGUGGAUUUAAGAGUAAAAUUAAUAAAUAAAUUAAUUUGAAACUUUGUUUUAAAAU